rnacentral:rRNA from 1 species
CCUACGGGGGGUAGCAGUGGGGAAUAUUGGACAAUGGGCGAAAGCCUGAUCCAGCCAUGCCGCGUGUGUGAAGAAGGCCUUCGGGUUGUAAAGCACUUUCAGUGGGGAAGAAAGCCUUGGGGCUAAUACCCUCGAGGAAGGACAUCACCCACAGAAGAAGCACCGGCUAACUCCGUGCCAGCAGCCGCGGUAAUACGGAGGGUGCGAGCGUUAAUCGGAAUUACUGGGCGUAAAGCGCGCGUAGGCGGUCUGAUAAGCCGGUUGUGAAAGCCCCGGGCUCAACCUGGGAACGGCAUCCGGAACUGUCAGGCUAGAGUGCAGGAGAGGAAGGUAGAAUUCCCGGUGUAGCGGUGAAAUGCGUAGAGAUCGGGAGGAAUACCAGUGGCGAAGGCGGCCUUCUGGACUGACACUGACGCUGAGGUGCGAAAGCGUGGGUAGCAAACAGGAUUAGAUACCCCUGUAGUC